rnacentral:rRNA from 1 species
GAGUUUGAUCCUGGCUCAGAUUGAACGCUGGCGGCAUGCCUUACACAUGCAAGUCGAACGGCAGCACGGGAGCAAUCCUGGUGGCGAGUGGCGAACGGGUGAGUAAUAUAUCGGAACGUGCCCAGUCGUGGGGGAUAACGCAGCGAAAGCUGUGCUAAUACCGCAUACGAUCUCUGGAUGAAAGCGGGGGACUCGCAAGGGCCUCGCGCGAUUGGAGCGGCCGAUAUCAGAUUAGCUAGUUGGUGGGGUAAAAGCCCACCAAGGCGACGAUCUGUAGCUGGUCUGAGAGGACGACCAGCCACACUGGAACUGAGACACGGUCCAGACUCCUACGGGAGGCAGCAGUGGGGAAUUUUGGACAAUGGGCGAAAGCCUGAUCCAGCAAUGCCGCGUGCAGGAUGAAGGCCUUAGGGUUGUAAACUGCUUUUGUACGGAACGAAACGGCUCCUCUUAAUACGGGGGGCUAAUGACGGUACCGUAAGAAUAAGCACCGGCUAACUACGUGCCAGCAGCCGCGGUAAUACGUAGGGUGCGAGCGUUAAUCGGAAUUACUGGGCGUAAAGCGUGCGCAGGCGGUUAUAUAAGACAGAUGUGAAAUCCCCGGGCUCAACCUGGGACCUGCAUUUGUGACUGUAUAGCUAGAGUACGGUAGAGGGGGAUGGAAUUCCGCGUGUAGCAGUGAAAUGCGUAGAUAUGCGGAGGAACACCGAUGGCGAAGGCA